GUGAGGAAUAUUGGUCAAUGGCCGGAAGGCUGAACCAGCCAAGUCGCGUGAGGGAAUAAGGCCCUAUGGGUCGUAAACCUCUUUUGUCAGGGAGCAAAGGCGUCCACGUGUGGACGAAAGGAGAGUACCUGAAGAAAAAGCAUCGGCUAACUCCGUGCCAGCAGCCGCGGUAAUACGGAGGAUGCGAGCGUUAUCCGGAUUUAUUGGGUUUAAAGGGUGCGUAGGCGGAGUGUCAAGUCAGCGGUAAAAUUUCGGGGCUCAACCCCGUCGUGCCGUUGAAACUGACACCCUUGAGUGAGUGAGAAGUAAGCGGAAUGCGUGGUGUAGCGGUGAAAUGCAUAGAUAUCACGCAGAACGCCGAUUGCGAAGGCAGCUUGCCGGCGCUCAACUGACGCUGAGGCACGAAAGUGCGGGUAUCGAACAGG
rnacentral:rRNA from 1 species